UUGCUAUUCUCACUUGGUAAAAAUAGAGGAUGACAGAUGGGACCCGCUCACUUGGUAAAAGAAUAUGUGUCUCCAACAAGUUGCGCUCGGGAUAGCAACUUGACAAAUCUCGGCAGUAGAAACCUCUGGAUAGCAACUUGGGAAAUUUAGCAAGUUGAGAUAAAGAGUUGUUGGAGGAGGAUUUUUAUGCUUUUAGCAAAUUUGGUAGGAUAGCAUGUUGAAAUAUCAAGUUGUUGGAGAUGCUCUUAGUGGCUGGCGUGGAUGCAUAUAGCUCCGUACGUAGAGCGGUAGCCAUGCGCUUGGUUGUGAUGCCAUGCUUCGUCUGCGUGGUUUUGUUCUAGACCCAUGUAUGGAGCUAUGUAUGGUGGUGGCUUGAUUGCCGGUGGUGGUGCCUCGUUUCGGUCGUGCGAUAUAGUGGCAAAGAGCUGAGUUGAGGAGGUUGGUGGCCUAGCUGAUGAGUCGAGGUGCGUGUGUCUUUGUUAGUAGGAGGUAGUCCUGAAGAACGUGUUGGCACAAUGAGUUGUGACUUUGGACCUAUUUGGUA
rnacentral:lncRNA from 1 species